rnacentral:rRNA from 1 species
GAUGAACGCUGGCGGCAUGCCUAAUACAUGCAAGUCGAGCGGCGCGGGGGCGGGUGAGUAACACGUGGAUAACCUCCUAUAAGACUGGGAUAAAUUCCGGGAAACGGAGCUAAACCGGCUACUGAUAGAUGGAGCUGCGCUGCAUUAGCUAGUUGGUAGGGUAACGGCUUACCAAGUCAACGAUGGAUAGCCGACCUGAGAGGGUGAUCGGCCACACUGGAACGGAGACACGGUCCAGACUCCUACGGGAGGCAGCAGUGGGGAAUCUUGCGCAAUGGGCGAAAGCCUGACGGAGCAACGCCGCGUGAGUGAAGAAGGUCUUCGGAUCGUAAAACUCUGUUAUUAGGGAAGCGGUACCUAAUCAGAAAGCCACGGCUAACUACGUGCCAGCCGCCGCGGUAAUAC